UACCCUGGUAGUCCACGCCGUAAACGAUGUCUACUUGGAGGUUGUGGCCUUGAGCCGUGGCUUUCGGAGCUAACGCGUUAAGUAGACCGCCUGGGGAGUACGGUCGCAAGAUUAAAACUCAAAUGAAUCAUCCAGAGAACUUUCCAGAGAUGGAUUGGUGCCUUCGGGAACUCUGAGACAGGUGCUGCAUGGCUGUCGUCAGCUCGUGUUGUGAAAUGUUGGGUUAAGUCCCGCAACGAGCGCAACCCUUAUCCUUGUUUGCCAGCGAGUAAUGUCGGGAACUCCAGGGAGACUGCCGGUGAUAAACCGGAGGAAGGUGGGGACGACGUCAAGUCAUCAUGGCCCUUACGAGUAGGGCUACACACGUGCUACAAUGGCGCAUACAGAGGGC
rnacentral:rRNA from 1 species